GAUGAACGCUGGCGGCGUGCUUAACACAUGCAAGUCGAACGGAAAGGCUCCUGCUUGCCGGGGUACUCGAGUGGCGAACGGGUGAGUAACACGUGGGUGAUCUGCCCUGCACUUCGGGAUAAGCCUGGGAAACUGGGUCUAAUACCGGAUAGGACCACAUUGUGGAUGGUGUGGUGGAAAGUUUUUCGGUGUGGGAUGAGCUCGCGGCCUAUCAGCUUGUUGGUGGGGUAAUGGCCUACCAAGGCGUCGACGGGUAGCCGGCCUGAGAGGGUGUACGGCCACAUUGGGACUGAGAUACGGCCCAGACUCCUACGGGAGGCAGCAGUGGGGAAUAUUGCACAAUGGGCGCAAGCCUGAUGCAGCGACGCCGCGUGGGGGAUGACGGCCUUCGGGUUGUAAACUCCUUUCGCUAGGGACGAAGCGCAAGUGACGGUACCUGGAGAAGAAGCACCGGCUAACUACGUG
rnacentral:rRNA from 1 species